UACGGGCAUAACUUGAGUACUGUAGGGGAGACUGGAAUUCCUGGUGUAGCGGUGAAAUGCGCAGAUAUCAGGAGGAACACCGGUGGCGAAGGCGGGUCUCUGGGCAGUAACUGACGCUGAGGAGCGAAAGCAUGGGGAGCGAACAGGAUUAGAUACCCUGGUAGUCCAUGCCGUAAACGGUGGGCGCUAGGUGUGGGUUUCCUUCCACGGGAUCCGUGCCGUAGCUAACGCAUUAAGCGCCCCGCCUGGGGAGUACGGCCGCAAGGCUAAAACUCAAAGGAAUUGACGGGGGCCCGCACAAGCGGCGGAGCAUGUGGAUUAAUUCGAUGCAACGCGAAGAACCUUACCUGGGCUUGACAUAUACAGGAUCGCGCCAGAGAUGGUGUUUCCCUUGUGGCUUGUAUACAGGUGG
rnacentral:rRNA from 1 species